rnacentral:rRNA from 1 species
UACAGAGGGGGCAAGCGUUGUUCGGAAUUACUGGGCGUAAAGGGCGCGUAGGCGGCCUUCUAAGUCGAACGUGAAAUCCCUGGGCUCAACCCAGGAACUGCGUCCGAUACUGGGAGGCUUGAAUCCGGGAGAGGGAUGUGGAAUUCCAGGUGUAGCGGUGAAAUGCGUAGAGAUUUGGAGGAACACCAGUGGCGAAGGCGACUUUCUGGUCUGUAACUGACACUGAGGCGCGAAAGCGUGGGGAGCAAACAGG